rnacentral:lncRNA from 1 species
UGGCUUAUAAAGUAAUUGAGAAAACAGCUACACCUAUUGUAAAUGGUAUAAAGUGUGUUAUUAAAAAGUUACAUGAAGAGUGAAAGAUGCCUAGAAUCUGUCUCGCAUAUAAGCAUUUUAAAAAAUUGUGUUUACUUCCUAAGAGUGGUCUUGCCAUGUGGCAUGAAAUAAAUGGGAUGGCUUAAGAUUAGAGCAAUGAAUCACAAUGUUGUGCAGUUCUAAUCAUUGUAGCCUCAAAAAUGGAGGUGGAUACUGCCAUUAGCUUCUGGUGCACUUUCAUUUUUUGCAUCUACCACAUGAACCGUUUUCAGUGUCUUUAAGCCAUUCUCAAAAGACACUGUAGUGCGGGCUGAAAAGAAAAUACAUAAAGUGCAUACUUUGCUGUGCUCACGCUCUUUAAGGAUUUGUUUAAUACUAGUCUUGGAAAAAGGUAGCAAUGACUUCAUCAAACUAACACAAAGGAUAUUAAAAUUAAAUCCUUGAUAAAUAUAGUAUUCGUGUAUAUAUGAUAAUAUAGAAAAUAAGCCUUC